GACGAACGCUGGCGGCGUGCUUAACACAUGCAAGUCGAACGGAGAACCUCGUCGGAGGGGAUCAGUGGCGAACGGGUGAGUAACACGUGGACAACCUGCUCCCGGCUCUGUGAUAACUCCAAGAAAUCGGGGCUAAUACCGGAUGAUCACCGCUUCCCGCAUGCGUGGUGGUUGAAUGGUUUGCCGGCUGAGUUUGGGCCCGCGGCCUAGCAGCUGGGUGGUGGGGAAGUGGAGUACCAGGGCGACGACGACAAGCCGGCCUGGGACGGUGACCGGGCACAGUGGGCCUGAGACACGGCCCGGAGGCCAACGGGAGGCAGGAGCGGGAAAUUGUGCGAAAAGGGCGGAGGCCGGGAGCAGCGACGCCGCGUGGGGGAUGACGGCUUUCGGGUUGUAAACCUCUUUCAGCAGGGACGAAGCGCAAGGGACGGUACCUGCAGAAGAAGCACCGGCCAACUACGU
rnacentral:rRNA from 1 species